UUGACGCAUCAAAAUAGCCGAGUAUAAAUUCAAGCAUGUGACGUUCAUAUUGAACAGACGACGCUGAUUGACAGUAAAGGCUGAUUCAGCAAGCUGAUUGAUGACUCACCUGAGGUCACCGCAUCCGAAAUCCCAGCUAAACCGAUAGCGAUCUGGGACUCAAAGUCAACUAAGCCGAUAGGAAUAUCGUGGCAGCCACUCGAAGAAGUCUUUAAGUUCAAAAUAGACAGAUCUCUUGCCCCUACUCAAAUCGCUAUUCAAGGUCCCAAUCGAACGAAUUAUACAUUGGUCUGAUUCGAAAAUUACCCUUCAUUAGAUCCGAUCCCACUCUACGUCGCUAUCAACAUUCGUUGCGAACCGAGUCUGGUGACCAAGGUCUGGUAAUGGUACGUAGCGGAAAAAUCACAAAACAGAACCCAGCAGACAUUGUUUCGAGAGGAAAUCGUGCAGUUGAUCAGGUUUGGUAGACCAGAGUUUUUAAGGAUGAAAAAGAGAUCUGGCCCAAAAAUCUGCGAAGAAAAUCGGAAGAUGAAGACCAAAUGAUUUAGUGCAUACAAUCGAGGUAUACUCGUCACACCUCAAACUGCUAAGAGUAUUCGUUUUCCGUCUCAUCCGCAAACGUCAAGCGGUUGCGAGCUUUCCUUCGACAGCUCUUCUCACCGCAGAUGAGCUGGAGACCGUGCAGGUCGGGUCUCGCGUCCGCUAAGACCACUAAGCCCAGACCGAAGCCACGGAGACGCGUUACCUCCCGAGCACCGGAUAACAGGCGGGCCGCUCACCGCACCCCCUCUAAAAAACAAAUAUGGUGGACUCUUAUUUGCUUAUUACUCUGCAACUUUUAAUGUCGAUAUUCACCGCACACCAGCACAGUGGCUGUGCUUGUCUGCAUUUCUACCCAUCAAUUGACCAGAGCCUUUUUUGGCCAAUUGUCAAAGUUGUGGAAAAUCGUAAACAAUCAUCUAAGAGAAAUGGUGUCAGGUAAUUUAUUUUCGAUUGGGAUGCAUUUUUAAAAUUCCAUCUUAAAAAACCCACAUCAUGCAAUCUUUCUGGAAUGACGCCUUAAAUUAUAUACCACAAAAGACUUGUUAAUGCGUUGAUAUAAAGAUCCUGUUGUGAUAUUAUCACUUUGAGCAAACUCGAGGAGAGUCAUAAAAA